rnacentral:pre_miRNA from 1 species
AUUGGGAUAACUGGGUCAAAUGGUGGUUCCAUUCCAAGUUGUCUGAGGAAUCUCCAUAUUGCUUUCCAGAAUGGUUGCACCAGUUUGCAGUCCCCCCAGCAAU